CUCUUGCCACAGACCAUACACACCCAUUACCAAUGAGCAAUAGAUUCCGGUAACCCCCUCCUGUCUACCAGAGUCCUCUCCCUGUAACCCAGAAUGUUUGCACGUCCCACCCGCGCUUUGCCCAGCUCCUCACUGUCCUUGGACUUCCCUGGAGAACGUAGAACUGAUGUGCACUGUUGGCUCCUGUUGUGCUGCACAGGCCUCCGUACAAACGGAACUCAAGAGCAUACACCACUCAUCUCUGCUAGUGGAUCACCUCUGAACGCUGUCUGCGCUGGGCUGAGGAUGCUCAUUACUGAAGUUCAAGGUUCUUACUGAUGUCACUGGAAAAUUUGUCUCUGCUCUGAGAAAUCACAGGGGUUAGUCUUUGUGACUCGUGAGGUGACUACACUAACACCUGGUGUUGAUAAGAUGGCAUGAAAACAGCCAGCUCUGGAAGUCGUGCGGAGUGAUGGCUCAGAAGUGAAUAGUGCUUGCUGCUCUUUCCAAGGACCCGAGAUGGGUUACCAGCACCCAUGUUCUCCAGAUCACAGUCUUCGCUAACUCCAGCUCCAGGGCUUCUAACCCCCUCUUCUGGCCUCCAUGGUACCUUUACUCAUGUGCCUGACAUCCUCCCACACAUACUUAAUGAAAAAUUAGAAUUAAAUCUUUAAUAAUAAUAAUAAAGAGUCCCGGAAGAGUUUCACAUUCUU
rnacentral:lncRNA from 1 species